rnacentral:lncRNA from 1 species
CCCCAUUUGGAUCGGAUCGGGUCAGGUAACCGAUGAGGCAAAGUAAAUUGCUAUCCCUAGCCGUAGCCUACCUACCAUUGAGCAAUAGUAUUUGUGAGCCUUUUAGCAUUGUGCAACCAUAUAUUUGUUAUAGGGCCAAAAAUAUGGUCUCCUCAGCAUUUCAAAAGCACAGCAAGAUUAGCAUUGUGCCACUACAUGUCAAUCUACUUACCAUUGUGCAACAGCAUAUGUAUGCCUUUUAGCAUUGUGCAAGCACAUAAUGGUCCACUCUUAUGCAGGCCAAUGCGAACUAACAAGUUCAAGCUAAUGAUUGUGUUGAAUGUGGAUUUCAAAUAGGCUAUAUACAUUACACUACUAAUGUCAAUAUGCUAAUUAUCUUAACAGUACUACUAAGGCCUAAGUACUAGGUAUUCAAGUGGAGAUGUUGUAGCAUGGAAGUAGUUUGCUAGAUAUUAAAAUAUCUGGGUGAGAAAUACUUGACUACGUGACUUGACUACAACGUAUGUAUAUGCAUGUUGAAGGAAGGACUCAAGAAGGCUGGCCUUUGAUGGAUUUCAUGCUGGGGCACUACAUGGAUGUUGAUACAAAUUGCAUAUUGUCUGUAUAUGCAGCCUACACAAUGUAUAUGCACUAUGUAGUCGUUGACUGCUUGCAUGCCAUAGCCACAUUUUAAAACAAUGCCAAGAAUGCAUAACUUUGAAAUCUAUAAUCCUCCCUACCCUCAAUCCCAAUGUUUAGGUUUGUGGAUCAAAUAUUAAUGCUACUUACUUGUAAGUUGAAGACUCAAUUAAGGCCAAACCUUAUUCUCGUCAACUACAUUUCUGAUAGCAAUCCAUAUCCACCACCUAUGUCUUUAUUAAUUUUUGAAUAAAUAUAAAAUUAAUAGCACAAAUUUACUUUUAUAUUAUAGUAGACCUGAACCUGGACCUGACAACCCAAACCUAAAUGAUUUCAGUUUGGUUCAGAUCAAGCUUGACCUAGCCAAACCUGAAUGACCCCAUGGGUUUGCAAAAAUUCUGCAUGGAGACAAACUGACCUGAUCCACUUAGUCAGCGGGUCAGUUAUGGGACAACAAUCAAGACAUGAAAUGAAAUCAGGUUGCUUAUGAGUCAUCUCUAACCUAGUCGGUACUCGAUCCAGUUGCAAGACUAACCUUUUUCGUUGUUGUACUUAUUACUUCCAUUUUGUGGCACUCUCCAGGUAAAAGAAGAUUUUCAAAAAAUGAAUAUUAAGAGUUAUGAUAAUUUAUAUCAACGAAAUAAUGAAUAAUAAGCUUGAACUUCAAAGUUAAAAAAUGCUCCUGCAAAAUAAUUAACACAGCAAGACACCAAAGCCAGCAAUAACAAACUUCUUGGGAAAAUAAAAUAUAAUAAUAAGGGAAGAAAAAUAACUGAAUAUAGACUAUACAUAAUGAUCGCAGUGGACUAAGGAACCUGUUCAAUCAUCUACAAGCUCUCCGCUUCAUCCUCAAAGUAACAAGGUGAAACCCUUAG